rnacentral:lncRNA from 1 species
AAUGGCCUCGAAAUGGUUUUCAACUGUGUAGUUCGGGCCACUGACAAGAUACGUUGCCUCGUUAGCAUUAACAAGGCGUAACCUUACUGGAGCCAACAGGUGCUAGAACACACUAUCAAUAAAUAAAGAACAGGUGGUACAACACGACCAGCUAAACGUACUAGGCAACAAAAAUUCAUCCAGGUGUGCUUCUUAGGUGUGUAGCUCGGGCACAGAAACUCCGCAGGGCAUCCCUUCGCCCAUCGCAGCAAGUUAUCGAGCCCCCCCUAAACAUUACCACUAUUGCCAAACGCAAACCUUAAGACAAUAAUUAAUGCAGACCAUACAGGAUC